ensembl:miRNA
UCGAAUUGUGUUGGGAGGGGGGUGGCUCAGAGAGAGGAAAGAGUCCUAGGACUUAGGCUCUUUCUGACUCAACUCUCCCUUAGCAAGUCAAGUCCAUUGAACGUUUUCUUCGA